GCCGAGCGUUUCCGGGAUGGGCGGGCCCUGGGAGGGGUGAGCGGUAAGGGGCGGGGCGCGCCUUAAAGGGCCCGGCGCCGCUUUCGGUCCACGCACACCCAGCGAGAACUUUUUACUUUGCAAGUGUCCAACCUCGAAAAAAGCUGCGAUAGUAGGCAAUGCCCAUACGCCCGCCAUGAACUGACUGUCACGUUUAAGUGACUUCUCUAUCUGCCUAACGCUGCUGAAUGAGUUCAGCCAAGUCACCACCACGCAGUGACGUCAUCCUCACGGUCGGCCCUCCAGGGCCCAGAGAGUUCGAAGACUUCACUGCGCCUGCACCGGCGGCGGCACCGGCUCUGCGUUCGCUGUCACACACUGGAGUGGAUUCGGAGGACGCGGGAGGCUGUGGCUCACACGCACUAUGACGUCACUGAUGGGGCGCGGGCGCGCGUGACGUGGGUAGAGCGGCAGGUCGCCAACUACUGCGCGCUGUCCCCUCGAGCAUGGUCUUGAUCGCGGUUCGUAGGUCUGGAACUUUCCCCCGGAGAACCCGCCUACCUCGCAUCAAGUGCAGGACUAAACCGAUCAGGAUGUCAGGGCAGGAGACGGAGCAGGCGAGGCUGAGGAGCCCGGGCGCCUCCGUCUGGGUCUGGGGGGGUGGGGUGGGGGCUGAGAACUCGGCCCUGACGCCUGCAUUGGCCGCAACUUCGCGUCAAGCUCGAGACAAAGUGGGAGAAAACAUUCGCAUCGCGUAGAGUCCAGAAAAAGGGCAAAGAUCCAAAGAUCCUCAGCGCGGAACCGCAGAGCCAUGAUGGGGGCGGGGAGUCUGAAAACCAGACCGAAAAACUGGGCAAGAAAAACCAUGAAUGUGCAAUUCUUGAAAAAAGACCUAAGAACAUGUGUGCCCUGGAGAGCCAUCUUGACUGUUAAAAAAAAAAAUAAGUUAGGAAUGAUGUUUAGAAGAUUUAUUGUAUUCAUUUAUUUGAAAGGCAGAGAUACGGAGAGAGAGGGAGAGACAGAGACAGAGAGAGAGAGAGGUCUUCCAUCCGCUGGUUCACUCCCUAAAUGGCUGCAAUAGCUGGAGCUGGAUGGGUCCAAAACCAGGAGCCAGGAGCUUCUUCCAGGUCUCCCACGUGGGUGCAGGGGCCCAAGGACUUGGACCAUCUUCUACUGCUCUCCCAGGUGCAUUAGCAGGGAGCUGGAUCGGACGUAUGGCAGCCAGGACUUGAACUGGCGUCCGUAUGGGAUGCCCGGCUGAGGGCCGUGGCCUUACCCACCACAGGGCCCCAGCGCCGGUGCCAAGAAUGACCUAAACUGGUGGGAGGCGCUCGCUUUAUUCGCCAUAGGAGAAAUGGAAGCUGUGCAGACAGCCGCGCCACGGAGGCGAUGUCACAGGAAUGUAGAGUAGGAACGGGGGAGGCUGAGUGAGGGGUGCGAUUUUUUAAAGAGAUUUGUUUACUUAGAAGGCAAAGCGACUGGCAUUGAAUAAACCGUUGGGGGGCAGGUGUUGGGCUCGGCAGCUAAGUUGCUGCCUGGGGUGCCCACAGCCCUACCAGAGCGCCUCGUUCCAGCCCCCGCUGCUCCACUUCCGAUCCAGCUUCCUGCUCACAUGCACCCUGGGAGGCAGCAGCCACGGCUCGAGUCCUGGGGUCCCUGCCCCCGCCCGCGAGGUCCUGAUUGAGUUCCGGGCUCCUGGCUUUCACGUGACCCGGCCCAGGAUGUCGGGUGCUCUGGUGGGGACCAGCAGAUGGAAGCCGUCUCUCCAUCGGUCUCUGCCUUUCAACUAGAAACAACGGUGAGCACACAUUGAAGAAUAAAGCUGCAGGCGCCUGAGUGCUCUGACAUCACGCUGCCUUGUCCACAGCAGGCGCUACCCACAGACACACGGCACACCCAGUCGGGGUCUCUUCUCCCUAGAGGGAGGCCAGGCGAUGGCCUGGAGGUGGCGGUCACACCACACCCUGCGGUCUUUCUCCGGCCGAGCGAUGCUGCAAGCCAAUUCUGAACCCGUGGACCCAUGUGGGCUCUGACGCUGACACCAGGAGCAAACCAGCAGGUGAAAGAUCCCCCCCAUCUCUGUUUCUCUGCCUUUCAACUUAAAUGAAAAUUCAAAAAACAUUUUUAAAGAGAAAAAAAAAAACGCCAAAGCCAGGACAGCUGAAUGAGGAAGAGGAACCAGCCAGCCAUGAAGAAAUCUUGGGCAAGAGCCUUCCAGACAGAAGCAAGGGCGGCAGUGUGUGCAAGGGUCCUGGGGCACCGAGGAGCUUGCCUUGUUGGGAGGACAGAAGGGAGGACCCUGAGGGCAGGGUGGCGACGUGAGAGAGGGGAGGACUCCUGGCUUGCCACAGAGUAACCCCCCAAAGCUUCCUCCAGGCGCCUCCCCCCACUGCCUGCACUGCCGGUGAGCUGAGCCCCCUCCUCACCCUCUCAAAGGACUCCGUUGCUGUCAGUACCCACAGUACCCAUCAUCGCCAUAUUUGCUAAUCAUAUACUGGGUGUCACAAUCACCCGGGAAGUUCCCACUGCCACUGUUCCAAUUGUGCAGAAGGGGAAACCUGUUCAAGCAGAUGACCUGACUUGUCCCCGUCACAAAGCCUGCAGAGACAGCACUGCGGAUGCUACCCACUGCGGCCACCAGGGGGCGCACCUCGCCCGGUCCCACUUGCUUGCCCAGGCAGUGUUUCACACCUGGCGGACAGAGGCCAGACUGGUGCCGCCCGCAGCAAGCGUCCCUGCCCCAGCCCUGUUUCCUUAGGGUCCGUGGUCUGAGUGACGUCAGCACUCCGAGCCAGGAGGAUCCAGCCGGCUGCACGAGGGUUGGCACUGAGUGCACUGAGACACCACCCCGGGGCUGCCUGAGGAUGCCUGGGGCUCAGUCCCGGCUCUGCUCCUCACCCCGCUUCCUACCAAUGUGCACCCUGGGUCUAGCCGCUCUGGAGAUCCAGCUGGUAACCACUACCUAGAAGGGACCCAAAGCUGACAGAGUGAGGCGAUGGCCGGGGUCUCGCCAAAGCUGACCCGGUGACCGUGCCAGUGGCAAUGGCCCCGUGGAAAUGCACAUCUCGGACAGGAGCAAGUGCCGGCCGCGAAGCCCGCGCCAUCUGCUGGAGCUGCUGACUGCUAAGUGGCGCCUGCCCUGGACCUGCGGUGCAGAAACGCAAGCCCCUGUCACAAGGACGUCUCGGAA